rnacentral:rRNA from 1 species
GACGAACGCUGGCGGCGUGCUUAACACAUGCAAGUCGAACGAUGAAGCUAGAGCUUGCUCUGGUGGAUUAGUGGCGAACGGGUGAGUAACACGUGAGUAACCUGCCCCGAACUCUGGGAUAACUGCUGGAAACGGUAGCUAAUACCGGAUAUGACCAAUGAAGGCAUCUUCUGUUGGUGGAAAGAAUUUCGGUUCGGGAUGGACUCGCGGCCUAUCAGCUUGUUGGUGAGGUAACGGCUCACCAAGGCGACGACGGGUAGCCGGCCUGAGAGGGUGAUCGGCCACACUGGGACUGAGACACGGCCCAGACUCCUACGGGAGGCAGCAGUGGGGAAUAUUGCACAAUGGGCGCAAGCCUGAUGCAGCAACGCCGCGUGGGGGAUGACGGCCUUCGGGUUGUAAACCUCUUUUAGCAGGGAAGAAGCGAAAGUGACGGUACCUGCAGAAAAAGCACCGGCUAACUACGUGCCAGCAGCCGCAGUAA